AAUAAAGCAGAAGAGCGAACUUUGGGAGCUUGCUCCCAAGAUUAUUGUCGCUCGGGUGAGUAAGAAAUGGGCAACCUGCCUAUAAGACUGGGAUAACUUCGGGAAACCGGAGCUAAUACCGGAUAAUUCCUUUCCUCUCAUGAGGAAAGGUUGAAAGACGGUUUCGGCUGUCACUUAUAGAUGGGCCCGCGGCGCAUUAGCUAGUUGGUGAGGUAACGGCUCACCAAGGCAACGAUGCGUAGCCGACCUGAGAGGGUGAUCGGCCACACUGGGACUGAGACACGGCCCAGACUC
rnacentral:misc_RNA from 1 species